rnacentral:rRNA from 1 species
AAGCGACUAAGCGUACACGGUGGAUGCCCUGGCAGUCAGAGGCGAUGAAGGACGUGCUAAUCUGCGAAAAGCGUCGGUAAGGUGAUAUGAACCGUUACAACCGGCGAUGUCCGAAUGGGGAAACCCAGUGUGAUUCGUCACACUAUCGUUAACUGAAUACAUAGGUUAACGAGGCGAACCGGGGGAACUGAAACAUCUAAGUACCCCGAGGAAAAGAAAUCAACCGAGAUUCCCCCAGU